AGUCUAAGGGGGUGUUUGGUAGCACUCCACUAAAAAAAUAGCUCCACUCCACCACCUCCACAAAACUCUCUGCCAAACACAUCCAGCUGCAUCAACUCUAGCUCCAGAAAAAAGAUGAAGUUGAGAGCCGAAUCCACAUUCUUUUUCGAAGUAUCUCGAGAAGUGCUCAAAAAUGCUAGUCAGACCUCCUCGUAGGUUAGUGGGUAAUGACCCACCAUGAACGCCCGCUCUUCUUUCUCUCCGUUUUUCCCCUCAGGCUGCGCCGCAGUCGCCUACUCUCCGCCGGCUGUCGGGGCCGCUCCGCCGCCCGCGGGUCGCUCUUUCGCCACCCACGGCCUCCGCCGCCAACGCGGCCCGCGAAGCCGCUCCUCCGCGGGUCGGGGCUACUCCUCGGCCUCCUCAGCCUCCGCCGCCGACGCGCCCCACGGAGGCCUGCUCCCGGAGCCCGAGGAACUCGACCAGCAUUGGCAGUGGAGGGAUCCCCGCAGCAGCGCCGGUACCGCGAGGCCGCGCCGCCCUUGAGUUGGAUGGGGAGCGGACGCUAAAGUAGUCGAGGUCCACGAAGAGGGCCUCGGUGCCGGUGAAGCAGAGGAGCACGCCGCCGAGGGAGACCCAGGUGUCGCGACCGUUGCGGCGGGAGUAGUCGCAUCUUUAUUAAAUUGAUUGACGAAGUCACUGGAACCAAUAAACAAUGUUGACGCUGAUGAAGAAACAGAUCGAGAGAGGGAGAAGAUCAAGACAAGGUGCAUCUAGCACAUCGCUGAUGAAGAAACAGAUUGAGAGAGGGAGAAGAUCAAGGCAAGGUGCAUCUAGCACAUCGCUGAUGAAGAAACAGAUCGAGAGAGGGAGUAGAUCAAGGCAAGGUGCAUCUAGCACAUCGCAUCAGUGCACUGCUUGAAGCAGAUGGAUUUGCGUGUCCAGCAAAUUGCCGGCGAGUGCGCAGACGCGGUCGAGCUCGUCCUUGAGGCGCGCGUUCUCGAUGCGCAGGUGCUGCUACUCCAGGGACACCUCCCCGAGCACGGUCACCCUGCCGCAUUUGGCGAAGAUGGGGUUGCGCAUCGCCACGCAGAGAGGAAGAGGAGAGAAAUGACAAGAGAAGGAUACGUGGGUCCAUUCACAAUAGGUAAAAUAGACUAUUUACAAUAAGUCCUCGUGUUUAUAAAGCUAGAUUACACGUACAAUAACUUCAUCUUUUUCUAGAGUUGGUAGAGUGGAGCAGAAAAAUAUGAAAUUGGUAAAGUGAAGCUGAUUUUUUAAAGUGAAGUAGUCCCAAAACACCCUGCGACCUACGACGGUGUUAUUAUUGUUAGCACUCCAAGAACGGCCGUGGUCAUCACAUCACACUACAGAAGAUGCCUACGGCUACGGCUGCCUUCUAUAGCGCGAUACUGUGAUGUACCGGGAGUCUGGAGCCAAUGUUUCGAGCGCUAGGCUUGAUGACACGUUCAAAAGAAAAAAAGAAUGACACAUUAGUUUAUAUUACCAUGCAUCCAUGAAUUCCAUGACCAAAUCUUGCCUUUGUUCACCUAAAUCUAUCAUUUUCAGAAGUACGUACACAGUUGAGUCAUAAACCUUUUCAGGUGAAAAAAAACACCUAGGCAUAUUCUGGUAUAGUAACUAGAAAAACCAAGGCCCGCUUGUAUGGCCCUCAUCUGGGCAGCAAAUUAAUAUUAGCAUAAUCCAUUCAAAAAUUUUAAUAUUAGCAUACUCAACGUUACGUUCAUGGAUGGCUCAGCUGGAUUUGUUUCAUCAGCCAGCUUCAGUCUCCUUUGCACUUGUUGAUCUUUUCAUUCCCAAAAUAUUCAGAAUGGCAGAUGGGUAAAUGGCUUCAGAAGAUACUCUUAUUUAUCAUGGCUCAACCAAAGGAUUCCAGAGAGUCAACAAUUUAAGCAAGAAUAAAAUCAAUACCCUAAAAGCAAAUGAUCUUGUGAUCUUGCAACAGAGAAGCCAUGGCGAGGGGGAGAUACCAGUAGUUCACACCCCCAAUGCACAUGAAUUUCACAAGAAUUCUGCAAUUCGUCCAUAUCAGUGUGAAAUUAUUUCACCCAAAUUGGCCCAACUGCACCGCAACAGAAACAAAAUGCCACAUUGUUUUGGACACUGGAAUGAUCUCUAAAAUGAAAGUUUGACCAUCAAUUCCUCCUGCAGUGUAUAUGUAGAAAACAAUAGAAUAGCAUUACGACAGAAGUAUUAUCUUUAGAUGAGCCUUCUCACAUUAUUUAUGUUCGGUGCAAAAAUAUCAUACAGAUAUUGACUGUCAGAACUGAACUAGAUGGACUGCACACAAAUUUGGCCAAAAGAUGCUUUCCCAAAAUAUCAUCUUCAAAUCCUCUGAAUUUAAUUACAGCUAAAUUUCCCUAAGGCUCAAGUGAUGUAAAAUGGUACUGGACCAAAAGCACAAGAUGUUGAAUUUUAUACCAGAAGUACAGAUGCAAGAACACUCAGUAGUUGAACAUCUAACGCCGUAUCACAAUCACCUGCUUGGCUACUUGUUCUACAGCAAAACAGUAUUCACCAUUUUGUCUUUUAUGAUUUAUCUAGCUUUUACACAAGACAAUUCCAACUGGCUUCGCAAAAGAAAAAAGAGAGAACAUGAUAUAGUCUGUCUCAUGUAGCAGCGGAAAUUCAGUUCAGUAGAAAAAAAAACAUUAGCUAUUCAUCUGGCUUACCUUUCUUAUCUGCACAGGAACGCCAAACAUGCAAUCCACAGCUUUCUAGAGAAGGUCUCAUUUUUGAAGGGAAGCAGCAACUUCAACAACAUGGAGCUAGUUGUAUGCUUGUAUUGCUUGUAAGAGCAACU
rnacentral:lncRNA from 1 species